UACAGAGGUCUCAAGCGUUGUUCGGAUUCAUUGGGCGUAAAGGGUGUGUAGGUGGCGCCGUAAGUCGGGUGUGAAAUUUCGGAGCUUAACUCCGAAACUGCAUUCGAUACUGCGGUGCUUGAGGACUGGAGAGGAGACUGGAAUUCAUGGUGUAGCAGUGAAAUGCGUAGAGAUCAUGAGGAAGACCAGUGGCGAAGCGGUCUCUGGACAGUUCCUGACACUGAGACACGAAGGCCAGGGAGCAAACGG
rnacentral:rRNA from 1 species